GUAGGGAUACCCGCUGAACUUAAGCAUAUCAAUAAGCGGAGGAA
rnacentral:rRNA from 1 species